UGCAGUCGACGGCAGCACAGUGGUAGCAAUACCAUGGGUGGCGAGUGGCGGACGGGUGAGGAAUACAUCGGAAUCUACUUUUUCGUGGGGGAUAACGUAGGGAAACUUACGCUAAUACCGCAUACGACCUCCGGGUGAAAGCAGGGGACCUUCGGGCCUUGCGCGAUUAAAUGAGCCGAUGUCGGAUUAGCUAGUUGGCGGGGUAAAGGCCCACCAAGGCGACGAUCCGUAGCUGGUCUGAGAGGAUGAUCAGCCACACUGGAACUGAGACACGGUCCAGACUCCUACGGGAGGCAGCAGUGGGGAAUAUUGGACAAUGGGCGCAAGCCUGAUCCAGCCAUGCCGCGUGGGUGAAGAAGGCCUUCGGGUUGUAAAGCCCUUUUGUUGGGAAAGAAAAGCAGUCGGCCAAUACCCGAUUGUUCUGACGGUACCCAAAGAAUAAGCACCGGCUAACUUCGUGCCAGCAGCCGCGGUAAUACGAAGGGUGCAAGCGUUACUCGGAAUUACUGGGCGUAAAGCGUGCGUAGGUGGUGGUUUAAGUCCGUUGUGAAAGCCCUGGGCUCAACCUGGGAAUUGCAGUGGAUACUGGGUCACUAGAGUGUGGUAGAGGGUAGCGGAAUUCCCGGUGUAGCAGUGAAAUGCGUAGAGAUCGGGAGGAACAUCUGUGGCGAAGCGGCUACCUGGACCACACUGACACUGAGGCACCGAAAGCGUGGGGAGCAACCGGAUUAGAUACCCUGGUAGUCCCCGCCCU
rnacentral:rRNA from 1 species